AAUGAACGUUGGCGGCGUGGAUUAGGCAUGCAAGUCGAGCGCGAAUCCCCGCAAGGGGAGGAAAGCGGCGAAAGGGAGAGUAAUACGUAGGUACCUGCCCUCGGGUCUGGGAUAGCUGCGGGAAACUGCAAUUAAUACCAGAUGACGUCUGAGGACCAAAGGUGUGAUUCCGCCAGGGGAUGGGCCUGCGUCCUAUCAGCUAGUUGGUGUGGUAAAAGCGCACCAAGGCAAAGACGGGUACGGGGUGUGAGAGCAUGCCCCCGCUCACUGGGACUGAGACACUGCCCAGACACCUACGGGUGGCUGCAGUCGAGAAUCUUCCGCAAUGGGCGAAAGCCUGACGGAGCGACGCCGCGUGUGGGAUGAAGGCCUUCGGGUUGUAAACCACUGUCAGUGGGGAGCAAAUGGCUAGGGGUUCUCCCCUAGUCUUGAGCGAUCCGCAGAGGAAGCACAGGCUAAUUCCGUGCCAGCAGC
rnacentral:rRNA from 1 species